GUCUGGAGGGAGCAUGGCCCUGUGACACCUUGAUUUCAGACUUCCGGCCUCCAGGCACCAGAGGAGGGCUCUGUGCCGUCCAAAGGCGACAGGUCCCCCCUGAAGGUUCCGGCCUCCAGCAGCACCACACUGGGGACCGAGCGGUUCCAGAUCAGACCCUAAGAGACAGUGUCCCCCGGGGAUUCCGCAUCUGGAAGUCCCUGUGACUCUGACCUACUGGGGACACCAUACAGAGGUCAGCCAGUCCCCUCUGUGGGAAACUCAUCAGGCCCGUGAGGGUGGCCCUCCUCCCACAUGAACAAGUGCCAAUACAAAGGGACAUUUGGACACAGACGACUGGGGAAGAAGGACUUCAGGCAUGGCCACUGUCAGGGCCCAGGCCACUACGGCCCCAGAUGGACCACCCCCUGCAUCUUGGCCUUGGACCUCUGCCCUCCAGGCUGGGACAGGAGAAGUUGCUGAGGUCAAGCCCCUGGUCUGUGGCACUGGUUUCUGUGGCCCUGGAAACUCACAGGGACACCUGGGAGGGUUCCAUCCUCAGCCAGCCGGGAGCCCGCAGGACGUCAGGAAAUGCAGGAUGGGCCGCUCUGGACUUCCCCCGUCACAGCCUUUAGUUCAAGGUGAAUGACGGGACACAGCGGAAGCUGCCCUUGGUGAGGGAGAGGGGCUCCAUGGCCCACGUGUCCCUGUCCCCACUUCCAGUGGCUGCUGAGGCCAUCUGCGGUCUCUGGGCUGCUGGCCAGCGUGGGCAGCUGUGUCUGGGACACUCUGGGAACCCUGCUCACCUUUUCCAAGCACAGGAGGCACCUGGAGCACCACUGGCAGAAGGAGCGUCCCCUCCCCCCGCCAUAUGGCACCGUCAGGUGACAGGUCUGGAAGACGACGCCAGCUCUCCACGGGACACGGCUUCCCCUCAGCUGGGGACGCCUCUUGCCACAGGCCCUGUUGACAGAGGCCCUGGGCAGGGCAGGCGUUGCUGUCCAGCUCUGGGUUCCGCUCCACGCUGAUGCUGCGCUGGACGUAGCUGGGGGCCUUCAGGGUCUGGUUUCUGCAGAUUGAGUUCUGGAACCAUCUGCGCCUGCCCAGGCCAGGAGGGCCGCUUGGCCAGUGCGGCUCAGGCUGAGGACUUUGUAAAGUGAGGUUCUAGCAGCUUUCUCCUUGGGACGUGUGGCCAGGUGCUGGCCAGGGGCUGCCACACAGACAGAUAAGAGGAGGGCCCAGCGGGUUCCGUCCCCUCCCAGGUACAAGUGGCCAGCAGUUCUCAAAUCAGGGCCUGCUGGGGACGGCCCAUAGGGUGACCUACAGUACGAGGCCCUGCCCAGCCAGUGCCAGGUUCAGGGUCAGUUUUGGCAAACGUGUCUGGCUUUGCCCUGUGGAAGAAUUUAAGAAUAAACCAGGGACCAUUCCA